UAUAUACUCUCAGUCAAGGCAUUAGUGAUUGAUUGCAUGGUCUAAUGUUCAACUAAUCAUGGAAAUUGUAACUGGCUCUGCUUACCGACAUUCCUGUUCUUUAGUUUUCAUAGAGAGACUCUGAAAGAAGGCAUGUUUGGUACUAAUCUCACCACCUUCCAUCCCACUCUGUUCAUUCUCCUUGGUAUCCCAGGACUGGAGCAAUAGCACACCUGGCUUUCCAUUCCUUUCUGCCUUAUGUACCUCACUGCAGUCUUGGGAAAUGGCGCCCCCAUCCUUGUUGUCCUCAGUGAACGCACCCUCCAUGAACCCAUGUAUGUCUUCUUAUCCAUGCUGGCUGGCACUGACAUCCUGCUGUCCACCACCACUGUGCCCAAGGCCUUGGCUAUCUUCUGGGUCCAUGCUAGGGAGAUAGCCUUUGAUGCCUGCGUUACUCAGAUGUUUUUCAUUCAUGUUGCCUUUGUGGCUGAGUCAGGAAUCCUGCUGGCCAUGGCAUUUGACUGUUAUGUGGCCAUUUGUGCUCCCUUGAGAUACACUACCAUCUUAACUCCUAUGGUAAUUGGAAAAAUGACCUUGGCCAUCUGGGGACGAAGCAUUGGGACAAUUUUUCCUAUCAUAUUCCUGUUGAAGAGGCUGCCAUACUGUCGGACCAAUGUCAUCCCCCACUCAUACUGCGAGCACAUUGGGGUGGCCCGAUUGGCUUGUGCUGACAUAACUGUCAAUAUCUGCUAUGGCUUUUCAGUGCCAAUGGCAUCGGUUUUGGUAGAUGUUGCACUUAUUGGUGUUUCCUACACUUUGAUCCUCCAAGCUGUGUUUAGACUUCCUUCCCAGGAUGCCCGGCACAAAGCUCUCAACACCUGUGGUUCUCACAUUGGAGUUAUUCUCCUCUUCUUCAUCCCGUCUUUUUUUACUUUCCUGACUCACCGCUUUGGAAAGAAUAUCCCCCAUCGUGUCCACAUACUUCUGGCAAAUCUCUAUGUGUUAGUUCCCCCCAUGCUUAACCCCAUCAUCUAUGGAGCAAAGACCAAGCAAAUCAGGGAUGGUAUGGCUCACAUGUUAUCUGCUGUGGGGAAGUCUUGAGAUAGUUCAUGGUCCUUUUAUAGUUUUCUCUUACCAGUAGGGGAAAAGAGAACUUGCCAAGCAAAUUCCCAAGUUUAGGCACUAUGGUGUGUUGUAGAAGAAAGCACAUGGACUUUGGAAUAAAUUAUACUUGGAUUCAAAUCCUGGCUCCCUUACAUCCUGAUUUUGGAAAAUCAUGGAGAGGUUCCCAUCUUUUGAAAAUUUAAUUUUAACCUGUAAAGUUGAACUGCUUAUAUGUAUGCUCUAGAGUUUUUGUAAAGAUUAUAUUAAAUAUGUAAACUACUUGGCAUAUUGCCCAGCAUUAUGUGGAAUUUCAAUGUUAGCUAUAAUUUUAACUUGAAGUUUGUUGCAUAAGAUGUCUUAGGUUACAUGAGAGUUUCAAUAUUUUCAGAGGUUCUGCUGCCUCCUCCUGCUUACCUUCCAAGGCUGUGUCAUGAUCAUCAUCAUCUCCAACAUCAUUGCUGUCAUUAUCACAAGUUUGUUGUAGAAAUCAACUGGGUAAUAAAUAUUUUAAAAAUGCUUU